rnacentral:rRNA from 1 species
GUGGGGAAUAUUGGACAAUGGGCGAAAGCCUGAUCCAGCCAUGCCGCGUGUGUGAAGAAGGUCUUCGGAUUGUAAAGCACUUUAAGUUGGGAGGAAGGGCAGUAAGUUAAUACCUUGCUGUUUUGACGUUACCGACAGAAUAAGCACCGGCUAACUUCGUGCCAGCAGCCGCGGUAAUACGAUGGGUGCAAGCGUUAAUCGGAAUUACUGGGCGUAAAGCGCGCGGAGGUGGUUUUGUAAGUUGGAGGUGAAAUCCCCGGGCUCAACCUGGGAACUGCCUCCAAAACUGCAUGACUAGAGUACGGUAGAGGGUAGUGGAAUUUCCUGUGUAGCGGUGAAAUGCGUAGAUAUAGGAAGGAACACCAGUGGCGAAGGCGACUACCUGGACUGAUACUGACACUGAGGUGCGAAAGCGUGGGGAGCAAACAGGAUUAGAAACCCCGGUAGUCC